rnacentral:misc_RNA from 1 species
AUAACAUGGCAGCCACCACAGCCUUAUAAUUUCGUAAAAGUAGCGACCUUUGAAGCUGUUGAAGAAGUAGAGUCAUCGAAAACUGUUCACACCGAACAGCCUAGGAGUACGCAUACCGAAGCUGUCCCAGCCCCCGCUCAGGAAGAAAGCCCGACCCCUCCAGUCUCAGGAAAGGAGGACACAGUCCCACAAACAGAAGACAAUUCGUCGUCCUCAGUAGAAAAGGAAGAUUUUUCUGCUCCAAUAGCAGCAGAGGAAGAGAGCCUCCUUUUGGAUUUUGAAGGAGAGAGUGUUUCUGGGAAUCCCAGUGUCACAAAUACCCCUGUGUUACCUAGAGAACCUAUCAAGGCAGAGAGUGCACCCAUUUCAGAAAGUCAGCUAUUCGCCAAGGACAGUUUGUUUGUUGACAAAAGAGAGGUAGACAAUACAGUAAUAACUUCAGAACCGAAGCCUGUUGUUCUUCCAGUGUUAAAUACUGAAGGUCCAAGGGCACAGGAAGAUAGCAUUGUGAGAGAAAAGGCUCAGUUGGCUGAGAAAUCUGUUCUUGAAGGCAAAGAGGAAGAAAAGUUACCUAUUGAGAAACCUCCUGCUGAAGAAAAACAGGAAGAAAAGGUAGCAGUUGAUAUACAGAAACCAGAAGUAAAGAAGACUAUUGUUGUCAAAGAGGAAGUUCCUAUUCCUUGUGAAGGACAACAACACUGCGCAUCAUCCCAAGACAAAGACCAGCUUCUAGAGGCUAUUAACUUGACUCUGACAAAUAUUAUGGAAAAAGCUGAAACACUGAUUGUGGAGCAAGUAUCAGUAGAUAUGGCCACGAAGUCGGAACAUUCAGCUCCAAACAAAGAGCCAGAGAGGAAGAUGAAAAAAGAAAAGAAAUUUCGAACAAAUUUCAGUCCACCAUCACAGAGAUUCAGCAGCAGAUGACAGAUCACCACGACAGAAAUCUCAAGCUUCGCGAAGAAAACCAGGAGUUGGCGGGAAAACUCAAAAAGUUCAUUGAACAGUACGAAGUCCGUGAGAAGCAAGUGGAGAAGGUGAUGCAGCACAGAGAGUUGGAGCAGAAGUUAGCGGACGCCAAGCUGGAGCAGGCCAAUGCUUACCUUGCCGAGGAGCAGGAGAGAAGCAGGAAGGAGCAUGCUGUGGCUGCAGAAAGUACCAAACGAGCGGCUUUGUUAGAGACACAGUUAGCCAUGUAUAAGGAUAGAUAUGAGGAAUUUCAGUCCACUAUUAAUAGAAGUAAUGACAUGUUCCAGAAGUUCAAAACCGAAAUGGAAAAGAUGACAAAGAGAAUCAAGAAGCUUGAGAAAGAUGGUGCAGCUUGGAAGAGCAAGUGGGAGAAUGCUAACAAAGCACUGCUAGAGAUGGCAGAGGAGAAAACCCAUUACGACAGGGAGAAGCCGCAGCUGUUGAGUAAGAUCCAGAAGCUGGAGUCCCUGUGUCGGGCCAUGCAGGCCGAGAGAUUGGGCAGGAAGGCGGCGGAGGCCAGUAAAAUAGAUAUAUCAAAGAUAGACGAGGACUUGCCCCAGGUCCUGGACACUCCCAACACUACUUCAAAAUCUUCCCCAAUCAAGUCAAAACCGGAGGCGGAUGACUCCUCUCCCCCAGGGUCAGGGUCUGAUGGGAAAUCACAGCCAUCGGAGCCUAACAGCGACACACAGACAGAUAGCAGCAGUGCGGCGGCGGCAGGUUCAACAGAACAGAAAUCAGAGGAAACUCCGGCAGAGUCGAAACCAGAGCCAAACCCUGAAGCCCUGACCGCUGAAACGUAGCAUAAAAACCCAAGACUUUUGUUGUUCAUCGCAUUUGUUUUCUUUCUUUCGUAAACCAAGAUGUAAAUUUUUUUACGUCAAGGGCUGCUUUAAUUAAAAAGAUUUAGUAUGUAC